rnacentral:tRNA from 1 species
AAGUCAAUUAUAUUAGUGUUUUGAAAGCAUUAUUUAGGUGAAUGGGCCUUUGACUUU